CCCUUAGAUGUCCUGGGCCGCACGCGCGCUACACUGAGUGUCUGAGAUACGAGUCUGCCUGGUCCGGCAAGGUCUAGGUAAUCGCUAAAAGACACAUCAUGCUUGGGAUAGAUUAUUGCAGAUAUUAAUCUUGAACGAGGAAUUCCUAGUAAGCGCAAGUCAACAGCUUGCGUUGAUUACGUCCCUGCCCUUUGUACACACCGCCCGUCGCUACUACUGAUUGGAUGUUUAAGCGAGGUUCUCGAACUGCUAGCGACUUAGCUUCGGUGAGGUCGCAGUGUGGGAAGUGAACCUAGCUUUGGUGUCUAGAGGAAGUAAAAGUCGUAACA
rnacentral:rRNA from 1 species